GUGAGGUCUAACUUCGAGAAUACCGUUGCCGCGUUGAGCUCAUGAAUGACGUCUUCGAUUGAAGGAGCAAUGGGACGCUGGCCAUGUUCGCCUGGCUCAUGUAGACGCAGAUCCUUUGUCUGGAUCCUUGGGCUUUGGUGGUGUUACAAUGGAUGAGACCUAAGGCAUUAAGGAGCGAGAUCUGGGACAGUUUUGUUCAUGCCAUCAGCCUCCAGCUUUUUAAGCUCAGCCUCGACUUUCUGCUAUAUGUGAAAUGUCACUCGCCAAGCGGCUGGCAUGUUGGCUGAACAUCUUGAUUGACAUGAAGUCUUUGUGCUUUCCAAUGCCAUUGAAUAGCUUGGGAUUGCUGUCCACAAGUUCAUCUGCCACUGUGCAUUUUGCUCUGGAGAAUGAUGGAUUUGAUAAUUCUAGUUCGUCAGCCGUCUGAUAGCCGAGGAGGGAGCAGCUGUCGGCAGGAAGAAAUACAAGAGUGGGAGAAAGAGGACGUCGAAUGGCUGGAUGAUGGAGGGGGAGAGGCAGAGGAGUAUGGAUUUGUGGUGCGAUUCAACAUAGAAAAUGGAUGCUGGAUUCCUGGAUAUAUCAGCUGAUGAUUGCCAUAAAUCAGGCAUGCACAGAGGUUCUUUCCCCAGUGUAUAGCAUGAGCGGACACACAGUAAGGUGUGAUGUUGAUGAGAACAUGUGACUGAAAAACCAACAUUCCUGUAAAUGUGACUUUUUUUUUUUUGCGAAUAUCAAAUUUACUGUUAUAGAGUAUUGGAAUUUUGGUUCGUUUUGGUUUCUCAUUUGUAUUUGUAAUGGCUGCUUGCCAAUAAAACCUUUACUGCAGCA